GUGCAGGUGAGGCUACCUCGGUCUCAAACUGGAAGCGAGGCAGGCCAACUUGCACUGUGCCAGGCAGCAACCCGGCUCCUCCCCUUCUCGCCCUCAAUCAAAGGCAGCUAGACCUCCCUGUGUGUGAUCACAAAAACCCUCGCUGGAAGUAAGGAGGAAUGGCCUUUGGCCAGUACCAGGGAAAGGGGAGAGGCACCUGGGAAACAAUAUGCCCCUGAAGGAGAGUUGCUGGACCUGCCUCGUUACCUGCAUCC